rnacentral:rRNA from 1 species
CCCGCACAAGCGGAGGAGCAUGUGGUUUAAUUCGAUGAUACGCGAGGAACCUUACCUGGGCUCGAACGUAAGAUGACUGUAGGUGAAAGCUUACAUCUCUUCGGAGCAUUUUACGAGGUGCUGCAUGGUUGUCGUCAGCUCGUGCCGUGAAGUGUCGGGUUAAGUCCCAUAACGAGCGCAACCCUACCUUUAGUUGCCAUCAGGUAAUGCUGGGGACUCUAAAGGAACUGCCUACGCAAGUAGUGAGGAAGGCGGGGAUGACGUCAAAUCAGCACGGCCCUUACGUCCAGGGCUACACACGUGCUACAAUGGCCGAUACAGAGGGCAGCUACCUGGUGACAGGAUGCAAAUCUCCAAAGUCGGUCUCAGUUCGGAUCGGAGUCUGCAACCCGACUCCGUGAAGUUGGAUUCGCUAGUAAUCGCGCAUCAGCCAUGGCGCGGUGAAUACGUUCCCGGGCCUU